rnacentral:rRNA from 1 species
GGGUAACCUACCCAUCAGAGGGGGGUAACACUUGGAAACAGGUGCUAAUACCGCAUAACAGUUUAUGCCGCAUGGCAUAAGAGUGAAAGGCGCUUUCGGGUGUCGCUGAUGGAUGGACCCGCGGUGCAUUAGCUAGUUGGUGAGGUAACGGCUCACCAAGGCCACGAUGCAUAGCCGACCUGAGAGGGUGAUCGGCCACACUGGGACUGAGACACGGCCCAG